rnacentral:rRNA from 1 species
UGGGGAAUAUUGGACAAUGGGCGAAAGCCUGAUCCAGCAAUACCGCGUGUGUGAAGAAGGCCUUAGGGUUGUAAAGCACUUUCAAUUGGGAGGAAAACCUAUCGRYCAAUACCCGRUAGCUUGACAUUACCUUUAGAAGAAGCACCGGCUAACUCCGUGCCAGCAGCCGCGGUAAUACGGAGGGUGCGAGCGUUAAUCGGAAUUACUGGGCGUAAAGCGUGCGUAGGCGGUUCGUUAAGUCAGAUGUGAAAGCCCUGGGCUCAACCUGGGAACUGCAUUUGAAACUGGCGGACUAGAGUUUAGUAGAGGGGAGUGGAAUUUCAGGUGUAGCGGUGAAAUGCGUAGAUAUCUGAAGGAACACCAGUGGCGAAGGCGACUCCCUGGACUAGAACUGACGCUGAGGUACGAAAGCGUGGGUAGCAAACAGGAUUAGAUACCCUGGUAGUCCACGCCGUAAACGAUGUCGACUAGCCGUUGGCCCUAUUUACAGGGUUAGUGGCGCAGCUAACGCAUUAAGUCGACCGCCUGGGGAGUACGGCCGCAAGGUUA